rnacentral:lncRNA from 1 species
GUGGAGGUGGUACUACUGGCUCUCUCCCGUGGCUUGGACACUCUAUGGCCUUGUUACAAGUCAAGUUGGUGACAUAGAAGGCAACGUGGAAAUUCCGGGAAGCACCGCUACGAUGACAGUGAAGCAGCUUCUAAAAGAUAGUUUCGGGUUCAAGUAUGACUUCCUUCCGGUUGUUGCUGUAGUCAAACUUGUCUGGCUUCUCGUCUUCGUCUUUGUGUUUACCCUUGCCAUCACCUUAAUUAACUUCCAGAGGAGAUAAAUAGCUCGAAAAUCUCCAACAUAUGGUAGGAAAUGUUUGAUGUAAUUGUUAGUCAUGAAUGAGGCGAGGGGAAUAAAAGGUUGUUACCACUUUGCGCAUUCUUUAUUCCUUGUGCAUUGAUCAUUCUUUUGUCCAGAUUUUUGUUGCAGGCCGCCAGACCAGAAUGGCAGAGUCUUGAAUUUGAUCAAGGACCCUUUCCAAUUCCGUUACUUCUGUAUACUUACUGCCUCCUUUACUCGGGUAUUCAACAAUUUCUAGAGUAUUUUCAAACAUGUAUAUAUAUAUAUAUAUAAAAGUUAAAAAAUAUAUAUAAUAUGUAGAAUUAAUGUGAUGUUACAAGUUAUUGCAUACACCUAAUCUUUUCUGACGUCUUGAUCAUUAUUACUCUAUGUCUCAAAACAAAAUAAUUUAAAAGAUUUGAUCACCAGUGUAUGAAUCUGAAAGAAAGAGGGGGCAGGCCCACACGUAGCUUUCCCCAUAGUAGAUAUAAAUUGAACACAAUCUCUUUCCCGGACCCCUAAUAUCAGUUAGUGUAGUAAUUUUUGUACAAAUUGAUCCAAAACCGUCCCGUGAUUUAAUUACUCUUGCUUGGUCUAACCCCCCCCCCCCCCCAAAAAAAAAAAAAAAGAAGAAUUCACCUAUAGCCAUCGCCUGCCAUCGUUUCGAUAGCCAAUUUGGAAUUAACCGUCACUUUUCACCAUGCGCUGAAGUUAAAUUUUAUAUCACGAACUGAAAGCAAUGGUAUGCUUCUUUUCUUCGUCUAUGCUUUGGUUUAUAGGCCACCAAAUCUGUACUCAUAAUGACCGGCGGCAAUAUUGUUUAUUCUCUUUAUCAUCGUCCUUCUUGUUGUUAUUAUUAUUAUUAUUAUUAUUAUUAUUAUUAUUAUUAUUAUUAUUAUGGAUCUUUGCAAAAUAUUUUUCCUUUAAUAUUAAUGAUGGUAAAAAUAUGAAUUAUAUUAUAAUAAACUUCACCUGAAUUAUAUUUUGUAAAUAUGAAAAAAAAAAGUAUUAAAUAGGGGGCCCCUUUGUUACCUGGCGGCCAGGUUUCAAGUUCAACAAAAAAAGAUUUUCUUUGCUACUGUGUCAAUUCUAGAAUCUAGACGUGUGGGGACACGUUUUUAAUUGGGAUGAACAUUGGAUACUAAUUAGAAUUUUUACGUUUGUUUGACAUUUAGAAAAAUCAAUGCGUCUUUUCUUUCCGAGUGAAGUCCGAAGACAAUCUGUUCGUAGAGCACAAACUGAGAAUGUAAUUGGGAAAAUGGUCUUCCAAAAAGUCAGAGAUUUGACACCUACUUUGGAGUUUAGGCUAAAGAAUCGGCUGCCCGUUCAUUCCAACUCUUCCCUAAUUAGGUCCAUGGUAUCCAAUUUGGACAACAUCAUACGCGCACGUGCCAUUAUAAUUAUAACUUACUUGCAUAACAAAUUUAUUCACUAAAUAAUGUGUGGAUUUUGCUUUGAUCAGUUUGAGCAAUGAGAGAAUCGUGUUAAUUGCUUUCUAAUUUGUUGUUAGAAAGUAGAAACCCUUUAACUUUGCUGGCCAAACCUAUCAAUUAAGUCCAGUCACUUCAUGAUGAAUAUAAUAAGGUAAUACCUAAAUUACAUUUGAUGUAACUUAUAAUCAGUUAAUUUUAUGUGUUAUAUUUCAAUCCAACGUAUCAAAAAUAAUUUAUACAAAAUGAGUAAUAGGUGGCCUAUAAGCUGAAUUGUCCUGCUUUUAUGUGAUGUCAGUUAUAUAAUUUAGCAAAUAUCCAAUAAUAAUAAUAAUAAUAAUAUUUAGGACCAUAUCACAAAAACAAUAUUAGUUGUUAUCUUAUCCUAUUAAUUUUAAUUUUUUAUUUAGCAGCGUAUUGUUGACUUGUUAUUUAAGAAUUUAUCUUAGAAUGUCAUGCCCGCAGUCCUCUUUCAUAAUGGUUUUCAAUUAUUUUUCAGUGAUGAUAUAAUAAUUUACAGUCGGAUAUCACAAACAUUAAUCAAACAUUUAAUUCAAAUAUCUACGGCUCACAUCAUAAAACGACAAAGAAGUAUUUUUCUCAGGGUUGGUUUAAGAUGUUGUCAUCUUAUGAAGAAAAUACGUAACACGUAAAAUUUUUUGAUUUCGUAAGUGUGGAUAUUUCUUUUCUGGUAAGCAAGUUCCCUUUAAUAAUAUAAAUUUAUCUUUGGCAUACGGCGCUAAUCAUCUUUGAAUCCUCCUUCACUUGGGGGCGGCCCUUCAUAAUAAAAUUCCACCCCCAAAUUGUUUUUAUUCUUUACUUCUUUUAUGGAUUUUCCAACAAUUUACAUUUAAUUUCGUGCUUUACUUUAAAUAUCUUGAGCAGAAAAUGUCUAUUAAUUAAAAAGACCAUUGACAAGUAAAUAUAACAGGGGGCCCGGGGAACAACAAUAUCCAUUUUUAAGUAUGAGAGGCGGCGCAUGAAUAAAAUUGGUUUUGCCCCGUUUGUGAUUGUUUUAAGAGAUUUAAAAGUAAUUUUGAAAAAUUAAAAGUUAAAUUUUAGUGUUUGAUAAUUUUUUUAAAAAAAUUAUUUUUGUUUAAAUUACCACAUUCGAGAGCAAAUUGAAAAAAUAAGAAAAAGAGCAACUUUUCAAAAUCUAAUUUUAAAAAUCACUUUCAUAUUUAAUAUAAUUCAUUUUAUAUCUUCAUAUAUAUUAUAAAAAUAUAAAAUUAUCCUUAUUAAUUAAGAAGUAAAAUUAUUAACUUUAAAGAGAUUAUAAUUAUUACUAAUUAGAUUAAUAUAACAAAAUAAAAAAUAAAAUUAAUAAUACAAAAUAAUUACUUUAGUCAUCAAUUAUUAUAUGUACACAAUAAACAAUAUUAUAUAUAUAUAUAUGUUUAUAAAUGUUUAAAUAAAUUUUAUUCAAACGUUAUAUUGAAUUCAGUCAUUUAGUUUCUUAUAGCAGUUUAAUAAUAAGAUUUACCAAAUACAUAUGCCUGUUUUUAAAACUCACAACACUUUAAAAAUAAAUUUUACCAAAAUAUUUAACUGAUUCACUUCAUAACUAAUUUUUUUUAAGACACAAUUAAUUAUAAUUAUUUUAAAAUUUACAGCAUUACCAAACUAGUCCUCAUUUGUAAAAAAACGGAGUUUCAACUUUCGUUUUUUUUUUUUCUUACAAAUUCGUAGCCUUAAGUUGCCAAAUCGAUGGGCUCACAUUAAUUGGAUAAGUAAGAUAUAAAGAAUCAAUUUGCCAAUUGCUGGCAAACUAAAUUUAUCAAAGAAUCAUCAAUUAAUUAAUUUUAGGGCCAGUUUGUGAAUGUUGUAGCUUUUAAAAUAAUUGUUGUAGAAAUAAUCAGCUGUAAAUAAAAUUAAUUAAGUAUUUGAUAAGUUUUAUUUUCAAAAAUACUAUGAGUUAUGAAAACAGUUAUGGACAUUUGGUAAAUUUUACUAUUAAAUUGCUUAGAGAAAAUAAAUGACUAAAAUGUAUAUAAUGUAGCAUAAGAUUUACUUAUACAUAUAAAAACAUGUACAUAUAAUAUUUUUAAUUGUGUAUUAUAGUAAUUUUUACUAAAAAUAAAAUUUAUAAUAUAGUGAAACAUAUUUAAUAAUAAUUCAACCAACAAAUUGAUAAUAAUAAAUUUAUGUUGAUGAAUUAUAAUAACAAUUUAUUAAAAUAUUGAUUUUGUUUUCAAUUUUAAUAAGGAUAAUUUUGGGUUUAGGUAAUAAUUUUAAAGAAUAUUUAUAUAAUUGUAUUAAAUGAUAAAAUUGAUUUUCAAAAUCAGAAUUUAAAAACUACUUCUUUCAUACUUUUCAAAAUCAGUUAUAGAAGGGGAUUAUUUUGAUAAAAAAGUGAUUUUGAUUUUUUUUUUUUUACCAAACACUAAAAUUAACUUUUAGAUUUUCAAAAUCACUUUUAAGCUUCCCAAAAACAAUCCCAAAUAGGGCCCUUACUGAGUCAGAAAAGCCAAAUUUAUUGCACUUCACGAGUAUGAAUUACGAUACAUGUUGCCACUACUAUUACCACUAAUCAUAUGUUCUUGCUCUUGCUUCCAAUAGACAUAUUUAGUACUGACCACUUAUCAAUGGUUUUUUAGUUAGUACCUCUACAAACUACUAUCAUAAAAAAAUAGUUUAUAUAAAUUACUCAUAUCAUAAAACAAACAAUUUUAACCAAAUAUUUUACACAAAAAUUAUUUUAAUUCUACUACAAAGGUGUAACAUAUAUUUUUAUUAUAGUAUAUUUUAAUCAUUAUGUACCGAUCACAAUGCUUUAACAAUUGUAUUCACCAAAAUAAUCUACUCAUAUAUUUUUAUUUUUAAGAGUUACUAGAAGAAGAGACUUGAGUCUUGAGGUAUCAAGCUAUCAAUCCUUUCAAAGCAGGAUAACCCAACACUUCCCCGGAAACAAAAAAUGUAAAAGUAAAACCUGAUAGCAACCCACUCGAAGACGAAGAGAACUCAUCAAUUAUGUCACCAAUUGAAUAAUUUAUAAAUACAGCUCAAAGCCGCGUCCUCAUUUUCUUUUCCUUCGUGAGUUUGGUUUUUACAGCUUCUAGAUACAGAGAAACCACCGCUAAUCCAAAAUUGACUGACCUUCGUUUUAGACUACCCAAAUUCAAUAAUUCAAAAACAAUACUGAACGUUUUCCCACUAUUUACAAUUUUUUUUUUUUAAAAAGAAAGAAAAAAAGGCGCGCACGAGUUGUGAGUUCUCAGUAAUGUUCACUGGUGAAUGGUUUCUUUAUAAAAUACUCAUUUCCCUCCAUUAUUUUCAUCUUAAUCCACCUUUACUUCCCUCAAUGAACAAGGCUUUUUUUUGAAGAGGCCAAUUCCUUUGGGAAGCUACGGAUCCACUUUUUUUCCUUAUUCAAAGAUCAGUCCCUUAGCUGAGUGUUUUCCCCGACUUUAUCUAUGUAAACAAAUAAUUCGAAAUGCGUCGACUCUUUUAGAACAGGUCCCAGUCAAGUUAGAAACGUUUUCAUUUUCUUUAGAUAUCAUUUAAUAAUUCGAAAUUGAAUAGGACAAGCUACCAGGGUAUAUAAAAUAAGCUACUUCUGAUUUUUCUUUGGCACUAUGUAUGAUGCAUUUUAAAACUAACUGUUGAUCUGCAUUACAGGAAAUUCCUGUCUGGUGGUGGUGGUGGUACCACUGCCUUUCUCCAGUGGCUUGGAAUCUCUCUAUGGCCUUGUGACUUGUCAAGUUGGUGACAUAAAAACACUUCUGGAGAUUCCUGAUGAUAAAAAUACUAAAAGGACAGUGAAGCAAUUCAUUAAUGAUAAUUAUGAUUACAAGAAUGAUUUCCUUCCUGUCGUUGGUGUCGUGCAUCUCGUCUGGAUUGGCGUUUUCUUCUUCGUGUUUGCCUAUUGCAUUAAGUAACUCAACUUCCAAAGGAGAUAAACCAGCUUAAAUCUUGAGAAGGCAUCCCAGUCUUAGAAUUAGUCGGAGAUGGGGAAUCAAAUACUUGCCUCUUGUUGUACUUCUUUUACCUUAUUUAUUAGUUAAGUGGAUUUAGUGAUAAUAAAUGCUGUACCUUUUCAUCCUGAGCAGUAAUAUUGAUUUCCUUUGCAUAUUCAACCAACCCUUGUAAGUGGCUUUUUUUCUUUUUUUUAAAAUUUUUAAGUUGUAGUGAUAUUUAAGCAAGAAUGAUAAGUCAAUAAAUAGGAACGAAUAUCAAGAAGAAAAUUGAAACAGAGGAAUCCGUUAAAGCUAUGUUAAUUACUCAAGAACAAGUACAGACCACAGAUAAUUCUACUCAUAUAGCUAACCUCUAUUCCGAAAGAAAGCUUACCUCAAUGUGCCUCAUUGAUCAGCUUUAUGACCAAGUCUCUGAAUACAUGUAUUCAAACAACGCGUUUGGUCCUAUCCUGUUAAAUACAUUCUCCUCUUAUUUGCGCUGUACGAGCAAUAUUCUCUCCUUAUGCUGCAAUAAAUUGAGAGAGAGCACUGCUUUUUUCUUUUUUCUUUUUUCUUUCUUUUGAUCCCCUUAUGAUGCAAUAAAUUAAGAAAGAGCACUACUUUUUUUUUUCCCUUUUUCUUAAAAAUUUUCUUUAAAAUGUAAGGGUGAGUAAAUUCCAAAUUCAUGUUUUAAUCCCUUAUUUUUCUCGAGAUUCAAACUUAGGUGGCUUGUCAAAUAAAACUAUUUGAAAACCACUCAACUACACCCUUGGGGACAGUUAAGAGAGAGCACUACAAUUGGUCAUGAAUUGUACUAACAAUUGCAUUCAUAUUUGGAAAUGAUGUAUCGAGAGAGCAUAUUUGCAGAAAAUAAACAAUUUUUUACACUAAAUACAUUGCUUUAAGCCGUUAACAUCAUUUUAAUUUAACUAUUUUAUUGUUGUAACAUAAACAUUAUAAAAUUUCAAAAAAAAUCCUUUUGUGCCAUAAUAAUUUAGGUGUUUAAUUUUAUAACUUAUAUAAUUUAAUGUUUUUAAA